rnacentral:rRNA from 1 species
GAUGAACGCUAGCGGCAGGCCUAACACAUGCAAGUCGAGGGGCAGCACAUAGAGUGGUUUACUACUUUUGGUGGCGACCGGCGGACGGGUGCGUAACGCGUAUGCAACCUGCCUCCAACAGGGGGAUAACGGAGAGAAAUUUCCACUAAUACCCCAUAAUAUCAGAAUCGGCAUCGGUUUUGGUUGAAAACUCCGGUGGUUGGAGAUGGGCAUGCGUUGUAUUAGAUAGUUGGUGAGGUAACGGCUCACCAAGUCAACGAUACAUAGGGGGACUGAGAGGUUAGCCCCCCACACUGGUACUGAGACACGGACCAGACUCCUACGGGAGGCGGCAGUGAGGAAUAUUGGUCAAUGGGGGCAACCCUGAACCAGCCAUGCCGCGUGCAGGAAGACGGCUCUAUGAGUUGUAAACUGCUUUUACAAGGGGAUAAAUCGGUGUACGUGUACACCGUUGAAGGUACCUUGGGAAUAAGGAUCGGCUAACUCCGUGCCAGCCGCCGCGGUAA